GUGAUAGCUCAGUUGGCUAGAGCAUAGUGCUGAUAAUGCCAAGGUUGCAGGUUCGAUCCCCAUAAGGGACA